rnacentral:rRNA from 1 species
GACGAACGCUGGCGGCGUGCUUAACACAUGCAAGUCGAGCGGUAAGGCCCUUUCGGGGUACGACGAGCGGCGAACGGGUAGGAGUAACACGUGGGUGACCUCGCCCUCCAGCUCUGGGAGUAAGCCCGGGAAACCGUAGGGUCGUAAUAACCGGAUAUGACUCCAUGACGCAUGUUGUGGGGUGGAAAGCCUUGUGCGGCUGAGGA